rnacentral:rRNA from 1 species
AUGCUCAGGACGAACGCUGGCGGCGUGCUAAUACAUGCAAGUCGAGCGGACAGAUGGGAGCUUGCUCCUGAUGUUAGCGGCGGACGGGUGAGUAACACGUGGGUAACCUGCCUGUAAGACUGGGAUAACUCCGGGAAACCGGGGCUAAUACCGGAUGGUUGUUUGAACCGCAUGGUUCAAACAUAAAAGGUGGCUUCGGCUACCACUUACAGAUGGACCCGCGGCGCAUUAGCUAGUUGGUGAGGUAAUGGCUCACCAAGGCAACGAUGCGUAGCCGACCUGAGAGGGUGAUCGGCCACACUGGGACUGAGACACGGCCCAGACUCCUACGGGAGGCAGCAGUAGGGAAUCUUCCGCAAUGGACGAAAGUCUGACGGAGCAACGCCGCGUGAGUGAUGAAGGUUUUCGGAUCGUAAAGCUCUGUUGUUAGGGAAGAACAAGUACCGUUCGAAUAGGGCGGUACCUUGACGGUACCUAACCAGAAAGCCACGGCUAACUACGUGCCAGCAGCCGCGGUAAUACGUAGGUGGCAAGCGUUGUCCGGAAUUAUUGGGCGUAAAGGGCUCGCAGGCGGUUUCUUAAGUCUGAUGUGAAAGCCCCCGGCUCAACCGGGGAGGGUCAUUGGAAACUGGGGAACUUGAGUGCAGAAGAGGAGAGUGGAAUUCCACGUGUAGCGGUGAAAUGCGUAGAGAUGUGGAGGAACACCAGUGGCGAAGGCGACUCUCUGGUCUGUAACUGACGCUGAGGAGCGAAAGCGUGGGGAGCGAACAGGAUUAGAUACCCUGGUAGUCCACGCCGUAAACGAUGAGUGCUAAGUGUUAGGGGGUUUCCGCCCCUUAGUGCUGCAGCUAACGCAUAA